AUGGUCGACUCUGGGCUGGACCAAUUACAGUCGAGGAGGUCGGAUGCACCCUCCCCCUUGCCCAGCUCGGAAAGCAAUUUUCCUGAAACAGAAGAAAAUGGUAUUGAGGUGAAAAGGAACGCGACUCCUGCUGUAUCAGCAAGCUCACCUCAGCCCACUUCAGCUAGAAUGAAAAAAAGACACAAGCUGGAGUUAUUCUGUAUAUAUAUAUAUGCCUGCCUUGAUACUGACAGGGUACAACUGGAGAACUCGGGUGUGUCCGGUGGAUCUAAGGGCCUGAACAGCAGGCCUGAGCCUCCUGAGUCUCUGUGAGAAAAUGCAGUGAUGUAUGAAGUGUUCCUGUGUGCUGGGCUCAGAGCAGCUGCUCUCAGCAUCAGCUGCAUUCACUGUCAUGCACAAAGUUCAGCAGCUCAAAAAAGCUCAUAGAUUUUGAUGGUAAGUCAGGCAAAUUCUUAAUCCCCUUUGCAAACUCUCUGGCAUCCAAGUCUGAUUGGUCCUGAAAAAGCAAAGUAGUGCUGAGGGCCUUACACUGUUCAGUGAGUUGACUAAGGAGCUUGGAAAGAAAAAGUUCAGUGAGUUCAUCAUUUGAGAGAUUUGGAAAAUUUUUCAACAGAUUUCUCUCCCACAUUUUCCAAAGUGGUGAAUCUCUCUUGGAUGGAAUAGACCACCAACAACAACAUUAAAAAGGUCACCUCCAGCUUCUUUAGGGCAUCACUCAAUGGCUCAUCAAUUGAUUCGUAAGAGAAGUGCUGUGUCGUAGAUCUCAGUCUUUUCUGUUGCAGAACAGCCUCUACGUUCAUGUCCUCACACAUAUCCUUGGCAAACAUUUGUGCAGAUGCAAAGCCUGUUCCCCUGUAGUUGGAGACUGACCGCUACAUCUACAUGCAUGCUGGGAGACUGCAUGAGCGUGCCCACAUGGUGAGUUUGGUUCAGAAUGUCAUACGACACCACUGUACAAAUCCUGAAUCUGUAUGAUCCCACCUCCUCAGACAAAGACUGGGCUUCAGUCUUUAUGACUGAGUCUUUGGUGUGGUCACUCCCUGCAGAUGCUCGGUACCUCAGGGGCUCAACACUGUUGAUCUUACUUUCCCACCUUGUUUCAGACCAUGUCUUCAGUUUAACAUUAGCAUGUUUUUAUAGGACGGUCCAUCUCUGAGUGGAGGCUGAAAACAAAUGGUUAAGUUUCUGCAAAAUCCCAAAGUAACUAUCUUCAGAAUUAAACUGGACCAAAUUAUUGUUUUAUCAAAUAUUCAGAAUUAUGUGUAACAAGCAUUUUAUUGAAUAGGAUACCACACCAUCAGUGUUUGGAAGUCAUGCAUUACUCUGUAAUUACAGUAAGAUAAUGUUCCUAAAUAAUGCAGCCUAAUGGUGUAAGAGAUUUGUUUUUGCUAAGUCAGACUACAACAGAAAACUAUUGUCCGGUUUGAGUGUAGCAUAGCAUACAAAUGGCUAACAAACAGCCUUAAUAAUUCAUCAUACACUGAGAAUAGGAGAAAAAUCAACAAUACACCUUUUCCAGUUAUUGACUAAUAAAUAUUUUAAUUAUAUAAUAUUACUGCCUGUCUACUGUUUACUAUCAUAGCCAAGUAGCUAACAAGUUUUCACUAUUCCUGCUAAUGAACGUGAUUCCCCCCCCCCACACACACACACACCCGAGAAUCCCCACCAACUAACAGAUCUCCACCUUAGUGCGCAGACUCGGUUUGUAUGAGGUUUUUCUGUGGUUUUGCACAACCCAGGAAAAAUUGACUGUGACAUAAUGAGCUUGGAUUGACGAUAUUAUGAAUGAAAUGUGCUUUACUUGGAAGCAGCCCGCCCCCCUCCCCUUUCGACAGGGUGUAUGUGACACUUCAGCACAGCAGCAGCAGCAGCACGCAGUCGCACUGAGGGCCCUGGGUGUGACAGAAUUUAAAAACACAUCAGUGCAAAUUAUGUCUGUAUCAUGAUGUUUGGUGUUUCUGUGUUUGUUUGUUCAUUCGGUUUUAUUUGGUUUUAUUGUGCGAGCUGGUUAUUUUGCCGCUCCGCCAGCCAGAGAUCUCACACUGUGAG
ensembl:lncRNA